rnacentral:tRNA from 1 species
GCCCAGAUGGCGGAAUUGGUAGACGCGCUAGGUUGAGGGCCUAGUGACCUUAUUUUGUCGUGCAAGUUCGAUUCUUGUUCUGGGCA